rnacentral:tRNA from 1 species
GUCAGGAUGGCCGAGCGGUCCAAGGCGCUGCGUUCAGGUCGCAGUCCGGUCUUCCGCGCGUGGGUUCGAAUCCCACUUCUGACA